GUGCUCACUUGGGCAGCACAUAUACUAAAAUUGGAACAAUACAAAGAAGAUUAGCAUGGUUCUUGCACAAGAAUGACUUGUAAAUUUGUGAAGCCUUCCAUAUUUUU
ensembl:snRNA U6 U6 spliceosomal RNA